GAUGAAGAACGCAGCGAAAUGCGAUAAGUAAUGUGAAUUGCAGAAUUCAGUGAAUCAUCGAAUCUUUGAACGCACAUUGCGCCCAUUAGCAUUCUAGUGGGCAUGCCUGUUCGAGCGUCAUUUCAACCCUUAAGCCCUGUUGCUUAGCGUUGGGAGCCUACAGUACUGUAGCUCCCCAAAGUUAGUGGCGGAGUCGGUUUCACACUCUAGACGUAGUAAUUUUUUCUCGUCUGUAGUUGAGCCGGUCCCCUGCCGUAAAACACCCAAUUUAUCAAGGUUGACCUCGGAUCAGGUAGGACUACCCGCUGAACUUAAGCAUAUCAAUAAGCGGAGGA
rnacentral:misc_RNA from 1 species